rnacentral:rRNA from 1 species
AAUUUUGGACAAUGGGGGAAACCUUUAUCCUGCCAUCUCGCGUGUAUGAUGAAGUCCUUCGGGUUGUAAAGUACUUUUGGCAGAUACGAAAAGGUACUUCCUAAUACUAGGUACUGCUGACGGUAUCUGCAGAAUAAGCACCGGCUAACUACGUUCCAGCAGCCGCGGUAAUACUUAGGGUGCAAGCGUUAAUCGGAAUUACUGGGAGUAAAGCGUGUGUAGGCGGUUCGGAAAGAAAGAUGUGAAAUCCAAGGGCUCAAACUUGGAACUGCAUUUUUAACUGCCGAGCUAGAGUAUGUCAGAGGGGGGUAGAAUUCCACGUGUAGCAGUGAAAUGCGUAGAUAUGUGGAGGAAUACCGAUGGCGAAGGCAGCCCCCUGGGAUAAUACUGACGCUCAGACACGAAAGCGUGGGGAGCAAACAG